GACAGCUCCCUACUACUACUGUCCUGCCGAACACUGUAGGCACGCUGUGUCGGUGCCAGAAUGUGCGGCUGGUGUGUUGGCUGUGAAAACAAAUAACACCUCUCACUGCAAACUGUGAUUUAUGUGUGACAAGCAAAUCGGAAUACGAAACUGGUCAGGACAGGUCACCUGAUCCCAAUCUCCACCCUGUCUAUUAUGGUGUUUACUCCUCAUUCUUGCCGUGAUUGUGAGGCUCUCGUCGAGGUAUUCCAGUUCGAUCCUUCAGUCCAAAGACAAGUUGGAAAAUGAAUUUCAAAAUAGUAUGUGGUAAUAUCGCCAGCCAGUGGUGCAGUGGCAUCCGCACCGGACUUCGAGGCAAGUUAGAAUCCCGGGUUUGAAUCUGGCCAGCUCCUUGCACGCCCUCCAUCUGCACCGGGAGCACAGAGACAGCAACCCGAGGCCGUAAAAAGAAAAGAGAAAAAUGGUUAAGGUUGCCGCCUGGUGUGCUGCAAGGCACGGGAAGGAACAGGUGAAGAAUACAAGUCAGAAGAAGCCAAUAAGAUCAUGAUUAAUCUUUUACGAGGAAUAGGCACCCUACACACGCCAGAAACUCCUGUCUGCAGGGAACGGGCACUCCACACACCUCAUCCCGCUCGUCCUUGGGGGAUGGACACAAUACACACAACAAUCCACAGUGAAAGGACACCCACACACUCAACCACUGCCUGUCUGCAGGAAACAGACACUCUCCGCCUUCCUCUCUAACAGUAUACAUCUCCUGCAUCCCAUCGCUGCUGAUGGCCUUGCCCCUUCUCGUCUGCCAGGAGUUCAUCCACCAGUUAUUACCCCUCAAUCUUGAACCGAAGCAGAUAACUUACCCAAUAUCGAACUGACCCCACAAACUUUGGACUCACUUUCAAUGACUCUUCAACUCACGAACUUGAUAUUUAUUGUUUAUUGAUUUUUUUUUGUAUUUGCAGUUUGUUGUCUUGUACACAUUGGCUUUACGUCCAUCUUUGUUAUGUGUGCUAUUUCAUGGGUUAUAUUGUGUUUCUUUGUAUUUAGUGUCAGUGCCCGCAAGAAAAUGAAUCUCAUGGUUAUAUAUAGCGUCAUAUCUACAUUGAUGUGUACUUUGUGUGAUGCCCCUUCUCCCUUUUAGCAGGGAGAGAGAAAGAGAACGCCUGUGGUAUGUCAAAUUGGCAGGUGAACGAUUAGUUUUUGCUGUACUACAGAUCAUGGUCUUUCUUGGGGGGGCUAUUGCUUGCUUCGUGGGUGGAGGGUGCCGACACUUUUCUGCUCAAAUGGGGGGAGGGAGAGAGUCGAUGCUUGUGCGUGGGAGGGGGGAGUAGGGGGAGCUUUGGGGUUAUAAUGUUUUUAUUGUUACUCAUUUUUGGGGCACGCUUCUGUUUUCAUGGAUGUCUGUGAAGAACAAGAAUUUCAGGCUGUAUAUUGUAUAUAUUCUCUGACAUUAGAUGGAACUAUUGAACUAUUGGUAACAGACUAACUUUGAACGGUAGAAUGGAAUGGAGCCUUGGGCAGAUGGAAAAUGGCUGCUGUAGGGUGACCUGGUUCCCUGGUCAGCCCAGAGGCGGGCAUGUUGCCUUGUUGUAACCCUCUCUGCAUGCACUGAGCUCCACCACAGCAACAGAAGAUAAAAACAAGCAUUGUCUCACUGACACAGAAUAUCACAGAAGGAUAUUCACUUGAGUUUGCUCUAAGGAGAGAAUAAACAGUACAGAAGCUUUAAUUAAGCCACCCACCACAGGCCUGCUUCCUUGCUGUAUGACUCUCUGAUUCUACUGUAGUCUAAAACCUUACAACAGGCCAUUGUCUCCAGUCCUCCCGGUACCAUGGGAGUGUUGCCAUGACAAUCACCUGACCACAGCACCUGACUGAGCCUGGCCGUUGCCAAAAGUAAAAUGUUGCAGCACACCCGAUCCUCCAGGCUCAUCUCCCAGCUCUUAAAAUUUGAUGUGAGCAGAAUGCCUGGGUGUGGUAAUGCCCCCAGCGCCGAAUUGAUUGUCUCAGACUCCUCAGCUGCUUGAUAAAGACCAAUGUCCCUCUGCCUUCCAAAUCCAUUCCAAGCAAUCACUGAAGAACGUGUUAUGACUAGAGCUGGGUGUCUCCAGGGACCUAGUCUUAGGUCUCCUAACAAUUUUGGAUUUCUCGACUCAGAGUUAGCCAACAAAGAAACAGGCCGUCCUACCCCACUAGCUCAUACACACCAAAAUGCUCCACCUGUUGGCAUUUGGCCGAUACCCUUCUCAGCUUUUCUGAACCAUUUGCCUGUCCAAGUUGUUACUAUACUUGCCUCAACCACUUCGUCUGGCAGCUCAUUGCACGUUACACCUCUCACAUGUCAUAGGAUCACCCCUACCGCAAUCCUCCCCUCUCUACCACUUACAGGGAGACCACUGCAGUUACUUAGCAACUAGAACAGCAGCUACUUGUCUAAAACAUUGCCCCAGGACAGGAGUUCAAAUCACAACAUGGCAAAUUAAAAAAGGGAUCUGCUGCUUUCCUGCCAUAUAUGACAAAUAAACUCUUGGGCUUUCAGCUGGACUUUAACUACCGGUAAUGUUUCGAUGCCAAACUCUUCCAUCUUCAGGUUAAAAUCGAUACCUGUGCUGGGCUGGAAGCCCAAGAAGAGUUUACAUGGCAAAUUAAAUUCACAAAAUUAAAUAAAAAAUUGGGAAAUCUUUAAAAUAAGUCGAGCAGUCUUAGUAACAAUAUCCCAGAAACUAUAAGAUUGUAAUAAAACCUCACCAAUUUGCUUUAAGUUCAAGUUUAUUGUCAUCUGACUGCACACAAACACAACCAAAUGAAACAACAUUGCUCCAGGCCAUGGUGCACCCACAACACACAUGACACACUGCAGAUAGUACAGAAUAUUACCACAAAUAAGUUAAUAAAAUGUAAUUCAAAGUACAUGUAGUGCGCAGCGCAGGUAAACAGUAAGCAAUAAACAGAAAACAUCUCACUAUCCUAGUGACGAGACCUCAGUGAUGACAUCAGUCUCUCAGCCUGAGGGAAGAAGCUGGUACCCAGUCUGGCAGACCCAGUUCUGAUACUCCUGGGCGUCCUUUCUGACAGUACUGGGAAGCAAAUAUGAGCUGUCCCUACACAAUUCCAGACUGAACAACAAGAUUGGCUCUUAAUGACCUCCUCAGUUCAGGGGUAUUUUGGUUUGAACAAUAUACACCAACAUCGACAGCAACGUCCACACGCCAAAGGUAGAAACAGAAGCAGGAUCAGGCUGUUUGACCCCUUGCUUUUGCUCUGUCUUUCAAUAAAAUCAGGGCUGAUGCUUUAACUGCAGCCUCAUUUUCUUGCAAUAGUCCAUAUCACCGAAUGCAAGACAAACUAUCGAUCACUUGUCUUCCACAUACUCAUCUUCAUUGUGUAGAGAAUUCCAGAGAUUUAUUGGAGAAACAUGAGACUGCAGAUGCUGGAGUCUGGAGGAACACACAAGAUGAUAGGGGAACUUGGUGGGCCCAAUAGGUGCUGCAACAGAAGCUGCCUGUUCAACUGAGUUCAUUCAGUAAUCAUGCGGAGUUCCAAAGAUUCACUUCCCUCUAAUCAAAGACAAUUCUAUCCUGAAUGGCUGUCCUCCAACUCUGAGACCAUGAUGUCUAGAUCUAGGCACCCCAUUCCAGAUAAAAUACCAUCUAUUUAUCCACUUAGUAAAGCCCUGUAGACUAUUAUACCUUCCUUAAGACACUGGAACAGAAUUAAGCCAUUCAGCCCAUCAAGUCUGGUGUUGAGAUGGGUAAUAAAUCAGUCAAGGUAGAAUUUCGGAGCAUUCACCUACCUUCUUCCCAUAACCUUUGACGCCCUUUCUAAUCAAGAACAUAAUUGCCUCCACCUUAAGUUACUUGGCUUCCACAGCCAUCUGUGGUGAUGAAUUCCACAGAUUCACCACCCUCUGGCUAAAGAAAUUCCUCUCAUUUUUGUUCUAAAUUAACUUUUUACUCUGAGGCUGUGUUCUCUGGUCCUAGACUCUCUCACUUUUGGAAACAUCAUCUCUAUCCAGACUGGGAGUUUCCAACCUGGGGGUCCACAGACCCCUUGUUUAAUGGUGUUGGUCCACGGCACAGAAAGAUUAGGAAACCCCUGAUCUAGAUCCUUCAUUAUUUGGUAUAUUUCAAUGAGAUUCCCCUUAUUCUUAUAACAUCCAGUGAGUACAGGAGCAGAGCCAUUAAAUAUUCUUAACACAUUAACCCUUUCAUUCUGGAAUCAUUCUUAUGAACAUCCUCUGGACCCUCUCCGAUGCCUGAACAUCCUUUCUUAGAUACGGAGGCCAAAAUCUAUGCACAGUACUCUGAAUAUGGUCUAAGCAAUGCCUUAUAAAACCUCGGCAUUACACCCUUGCUUUUAUAUUAAAGUCCUCUUAGAAAGCGAUCACCUCUCAUUCUUCAGAGUACACAGGCCCGGUUUUCUUAAUCUCAUCACAUAUAACGUAUCCCAGAAUCAAUCUGGUGAACAUCUGUUGCACUUUUUCUAUCACGAGUAUGUUCUUUCUGACCCAGAGCCACAGAGUUAUACAGCCUAGGGACAGACACUUCAGCCCAACAUAUCACACCAGCCUUCGAGUACCUAUCUGUUCAAGUCUCGUUUUCCAGCGCCUGCUCCAUGGUCUCCUAUGCCUUGCUAACUCAGGCAGUCAUAGAGUUAUACAGCCCAGGAAAGGUCCUUCAGUCCAACUCACCCACUCCAUCCAAGUUCUCUGCCUGUGCUAGUUCCAUUUGCCUGUGUUUAAUCUAUAUCUCUCUAAAGCUUUCGUAUCUAUGCACCUGCGCAAAUGUCUUUUAACACUCUAAGUCCACACACCUCUUCCACUUCUUUGGCAGCUUGGUGUAAAUACGCAGCAUCCUCUGUACAGAAAACUUGCCUUUCUCCUCCUUUAUAUCCUUCCCCUCUGACCUCAAACUUAUUCCCUCCAGUUUCAGACUCCCCUACCCUGGGGGGGAGAAAACCAUGACUAUUCACAUUACCUGCAUCCCUCGUGCUUCUAUAAACCUCAAGGAUAGGGAAGGUCGAGAUGGAUAUGUCCCAAACAGAGGCAAGUAGGACUAGCAGGCAUGGAUGAGUUCAGCCGAAGGGACCAUACUUUUCUAUAUACAGUGGAUUCUGGUUAACUGGGUCAUUGGUUAAUCAGGACAGCUGCUUAUUUUGGAAACUCUUAAAGACCAAAAACUAAUUGAGAAAAUAGACCGGAUUCUUUUUGUUUAUGUGGGACACCACGCCACUACGCCAGAGUGUCAGGACCGCUUUGUUUAUGCUGUAUAUCAAUGAUCUAGAUGAUGGAACAGAUGGCUUUGUUGCCAAGUUUGCAGAUGAUACAAUGACUGGUGGAGGGGCAGGUAGUGUUGAGGGAACAGGUAGGCUGAAGAAGGACUUAGAAAGAUUAGGAGAAUGGGCAAGAGAGUGAGAUGCAAUGAGAUGCAAUGUUGGAAAAUGCAUGGUCUUGUACUUUGGUAGAAGAAAUAAAUGUGCAGACUAUUUUCUAAACAGGGAGGAAGUCCAAAUGUCUGAGAUGCAAGGGGACUUGGGAGUCCUUGUGCAGAACACCGUAAAGGUUAACUUGCAGGCUGAGUCAGUGGUGAGGAAGGCGAAUGCAAUGUUGGCAUUCAUUUCGAGAGGCCUAGAAUACAAGAGCAGGGAUGUGAUAGUGAGGCACUGGUGAGGCCUCACCUUGAGCAUUGUGAACAGUUUUGGGCUCCUCAUCUAAGAAAAGAUGUGCUGGCAUUGGAGAGCAUUCAGAGGAGGCUCACAGGGAUGAUUCUGGGAAUGAAAGGGUUUGAUGACUCUGGGCCUGUACUCAGAAUUAAGAAGGAUGGGGGGGGGGAUCUUUAUUGAAACUUUUUGAAUUGUGAAAUUCUAGAGAGAGUAGAUGUGGAAAGGAUGUUUUCCAUGGUGAGGGUGUCUAGACAACACAGCACAGCCUCAGGAUAGAGGGAUGUCCAUUUAAAACAGAGAUGCGGAGAAAUUUCUUUAGCAAGAGGGUGGUGAAUUUGUGGAAUUUGUUACUACAGGCAGCUAUGCAAGUCAGGUCGUUGGAUGUACUUAAGGCGAAGAUUGAUAGGUUCUUGAUUGGCCAUGGCAUGAAAGGUUACAGGGAGAAGGCCAGAGGGUGGGGCUGAGGAGGGGCAAAAAGGAUCAGCCAUGCUUGAAUGGUGCAGCAGACUCAAUGGGCCAAAUUUGCUCCUGUGUCUUAUGGUGUUAACUGGGACAGGAGAAUGGUGACAAACAGUUUCUAACUAGUGUCAGUCGCGUGCACUUGUGUGGCUGUUAAGACACUGGGCGAAAAGCAAAUGGUCUUUGAAUAAUGUCAUCUGUGUGUGUUUAUGUUCAAAAAGCAAUUACUUUUGUCACUGACAGUUGGUAAGAAAUAAGUAGGCAAGACAAUUCAUACUGUGUUUCUUACUGCAGUUUCAAGCUUUAGGCUUGGAGAUGCCAGAACUGGCCAAGGGGGAAAAUGAAAUUAUUCCACUACUUUAACAAAUUAAGAACUAUGAAGAAUUUGAAGGUAUUGACAAUCAUCUUGAGUAUUACAAUGAAGAUUAAGAGGAUGCAGACAAGAGAAAAUCUGCAGAUGCUGGAAAUCUGAGCAACACACACAAAAUGCUGGAGGAACUCAGCAGGCCAGGCAGCAUCUGUGGAAACGUCGACUGUACUUUUUUCCAUAGAAGCUGCCUGACCUGCUGAGUUCCUCCAGCAUUUUGUGUGUGUUAGUAGGAGGAUGCAAUUGCCAAGAGCAUGAAGACAGCUCAUUAUCUGCAAUGGGUGUCGGUGCUGAUUUCGUUUAUUUUCAGUCAAUCAAAAGAACACGUCAACGUACAUUGGAUGAAUCCAUCGAUAACUAUUAGGAACUAAUACAUAGUUUUAUGGUAAUGUAUUAGUACUGGUAGUGUCUAAUUUGUUCUGUAUUUCAUUUAAAUACAU